GUGGGGAAUCUUGCGCAAUGGGCGAAAGCCUGACGCAGCAACGCCGCGUGCGGGAUGACGGCCUUCGUGGUUGUAAACCGCUUUCAGCAGGGACGAAAUUGACGGUACCUGCAGAAGAAGCCCCGGCUAACUACGUGCCAGCAGCCGCGGUAAUACGUAGGGGGCAAGCGUUGUCCGGAAUCAUUGGGCGUAAAGAGCUCGUAGGCGGUUCAGUAAGUCGGGUGUGAAAGCGCCGAGCUCAACUCGGAGAGGCCACUCGAUACUGCUGUGACUAGAAUCCAGUAGGGGAGUGUGGAAUUCCUGGUGUAGCGGUGAAAUGCGCAGAUAUCAGGAGGAACACCAGCGGCGAAGGCGGCACUCUGGGCUGGUAUUGACGCUGAGGAGCGAAAGUGUGGGUAGCAAACAGGAUUAGAUACCCUGGUAGUCC
rnacentral:rRNA from 1 species